rnacentral:rRNA from 1 species
UACGAGGGUGCCAAGCGUUGCUCGGAAUCAUUGGGCGUAAAGCGGGUGUAGGUGGCUUUGUAAGUCAGGAGUGAAAGCCCUAGGCGUCAACCUCAGGAAGUGCUUUUGAUACUGCGAAGCUUGAAUGUGGGAGAGGAUCGUGGAAUUCCAGGUGUAGUGGUGAAAUACGUAGAGAUCCGGAGGAACCCCAGAGGCGAAGGCGGCGCCUGGCUCGCACCUGACGCUCAGACACGACAGGCAUGGGAGCGGAACGGG